UAGGGAAUUUUCGUCAAUGGGCGCAAGCCUGAACGAGCAAUGCCGCGUGAGCGAAGAAGGUCUUCGGAUCGUAAAACUCUGUUGCGGGGGAAAAAGGAAGGGAAGAGGAAAUGCUUUUUCUUUUGAUGGUACCCCGCCAGAAAGUCACGGCUAACUACGUGCCAGCAGCCGCGGUAAUACGUAGGUGGCAAGCGUUAUCCGGAAUGAUUGGGCGUAAAGGGUGCGCAGGCUGCGCGUCAAGUCUGAAGUAAAAGGUACAGGCUCAACCUGUGCAGGCUUUGGAAACUGGCGCGCUCGAGGACAGGAGAGGCGGUGGAACUCCAUGUGUAGCGGUAAAAUGCGUAGAUAUAUGGAAGAACACCAGUUGCGAAGGCGGCCGCCUGGACUGUUACUGACGCUGAGGCACGAAAGCGUGGGGAGCAAAUAGGAUUAGAUACC
rnacentral:rRNA from 1 species